AUUGAACGCUGGCGGCAGGCCUAACACAUGCAAGUCGAGCGGAUGAAGGGAGCUUGCUCCUGGAUUCAGCGGCGGACGGGAGAGUAAUGCCUAGGAAUCUGCCUGGUAGUGGGGGAUAACGUCCGGAAACGGGCGCUAAUACCGCAUACGUCCUGAGGGAGAAAGUGGGGGAUCUUCGGACCUCACGCUAUCAGAUGAGCCUAGGUCGGUUUAGCUAGUUGGUGGGGUAAAGGCCUACCAAGGCGACGAUCCGUAACUGGUCUGAGAGGAUGAUCAGUCACACUGGAACUGAGACACGGUCCAGACUCCUAAGGGAGGCAGCAGUGGGGAAUAUUGGAAAAAGGGCGAAAGCCUGAUCCAGCCAUGCCGCGUGUGUGAAGAAGGUCUUCGGAUUGUAAAGCACUUUAAGUUGGGAGGAAGGGCAGUAGUUAAUACCUUGCUGUUUUGACGUUACCAACAGAAUAAGCACCGGCUAACUUCGUG
rnacentral:rRNA from 1 species